UACGAAGGGAGCUAGCGUUGUUCGGAAUCACUAGGCGUAAAGCGCCCGUAGGCGGAUGUGUCAGUCAGGGGUGAAAUCCCGGAGCUCAACUUCGGAACUGCCUUCGAUACUGGCGAUCUAGAGUCCGGAAGAGGUGAGUGGAACUCCUAGUGUAGAGGUGGAAUUCGUAGAUAUUAGGAAGAACACCAGUGGCGAAGGCGGCUCACUGGUCCGGUACUGACGCUGAGGUGCGAAAGCGUGGGGAGCAAACAGG
rnacentral:rRNA from 1 species